GUUUUGUGGUUGGGUCGAUGGCAUUGCGGACAUAAGCCUGCAUGCUUGCGUAAGUGCGUUGUGUGCGGAGCGGCAGACGGCUCAGUAAUACUGCGAUGAUUUGUUCGGGGAGGCCGUGUAGCCGCGGGAAACUGUGGGUAGGCGGCUGGGCUGCACUGGGUUGCUGGGGCGGUGUCUGAGUAAGUUGCAGCCCUAUUAGCUGGUAGCUAGGGUAAUGGCCUAGCUAGGCGAUGAUGGGAGACGGGGAAUUUGGGUUUGGUUCCGGAGAGGGAGCCUGAGAGAUGGCUACUACGUCCAAGGAUGGCAGCAGGCGCGGAACUUGCCGAAUCCUUUUGGGAGGCAGUUAGCAAGCGUUGGGUUUGUUUGGAAUUGCAAAGAGAUUCCUUGAGAUUGGAGGGCAAGUCGGGUGCCAGCAGCCGCGGUAAUACCUGCUCCAAGAGUGUCUAUGGUGGAUGCUGCAGUUAAAAGGUUCGUAGUUGUGUUGCUUGCGCAUGUUUUGUGUGCCUGUGUGUGUGGCGGGCUGUGGAUGUGUGCGGCGAUGUGCGCAACAGACGGGGGGCACUGGAUAGUUGGGCGAGAGGUGAAAUGCGACGACCCUGACUGGACAGACGGAGGCGAAGGCGGUGCUCUUGGAUGGAUGUGAGGAUCAAGAACGAAGGCUGGAGGAUCGAAAUCGAUUAGAUACCGUUUUAGUUCCAGCAGUAAACGAUGCCGACUGGAUGGUGUGUGUUGCACUGUGCGCGAGAAAUCUGUGAGUGUGUGGGCUCUGGGGAUAGUAUGAUCGCAAGAGGGAAACUUAAAGAGAUUGACGGAAGGACACCACCAGGAGUGGAGUGUGCGGCUUAAUUUGACUCAACGCGGGACAACUUACCAAUGCCGAGAUGUGUUUGAGAGCGGAACGCGAGACGCGUGGCGGUGGUGCAUGGCCGUUUGAAAUGGAUGGCGUGAGCUGAGGAUUAAUUUCCGGAAGAUGUGAGACCCUUUGACUGCGUUCGUGGAGAGCGAGGAGGGGAGGGAACACAACAGGUCCGUUAUGCCCUGAGAUGUGUUGGGCUGCACGCGCACUACGAUAUUCUGCGGUUGCGGAGGAUGUGCGGGAUUGAAUAGCUUGUGAAUGUGUCAUGAACGUGGAAUUCCUAGUAAGGGCUGUUCAUUAGGCGUUCUGAAGGUGCAUGCGGACUGAGGCGGCAGAA
rnacentral:rRNA from 1 species